rnacentral:rRNA from 1 species
AUUGAACGCUGGCGGCAUGCCCUACACAUGCAAGUCGAACGGCAGCACGGGUGCUUGCACCUGGUGGCGAGUGGCGAACGGGUGAGUAAUACAUCGGAACGUACCUUAUCGUGGGGGAUGACGCAGCGAAAGCUGUGCUAAUACCGCAUACGCCCUGAGGGGGAAAGCGGGGGAUCGCAAGACCUCGCGCGAUUAGAGCGGCCGAUGCCUGAUUAGCUUGUUGGUGGGGUAAAAGCCCACCAAGGCGACGAUCAGUAGCUGGUCUGAGAGGACGAUCCGCCACACUGGGACUGAGACGCGGCCCAGACUCCUACGGGAGGCAGCAGUGGGGAAUUUUGGCCAAUGGGGGCAACCCUGAUCCAGCAAUGCCGCGUGAGUGAAGAAGGCCUUCGGGUUGUAAAGCUCUUUUGUCAGGGAAGAAACACCGGCUCUAACACAGUCCGGGAAUGACGGUACCUGAAGAAUAAGCACCGGCUAACUACGUGCCAGCCGCCGCCGUAA